CUACCAUUAAGUUGAGCACUCUAAUGAGACUGCCUGGGUAACCAGGAGGAAGGUGGGGAUGACGUCAAAUCAUCAUGCCCCUUAUGUCCAGGGCUACACACGUGCUACAAUGGUAGGUACAAUAAGACGCAAGACCGUGAGGUGGAGCAAAACUUAUAAAACCUAUCUCAGUUCGGAUUGUAGGCUGCAACUCGCCUACAUGAAGCUGGAGUUGCUAGUAAUCGCGAAUCAGAAUGUCGCGGUGAAUACGUUCCCGGGCCUUGUACACACCGCCCGUCACACCAUGAGAGCUGGUAACACCCGAAGUCCGUGAGGUAACCGUAAGGAGCCAGCGGCCGAAGGUGGGAUUAGUGAUUGGGGUGAAGUCGUAACAAGGUAGCCGUAGGAGAACCUGCGGCUGGAUCACCUCCUUUCUAAGGA
rnacentral:rRNA from 1 species